UACGUAGGGCGCGAGCGUUGUCCGGAAUCAUUGGGCGUAAAGAGCUCGUAGGCGGCCGGUUGCGUCUGCUGUGAAAUCCCGGGGCUUAACCCCGGGCGUGCAGUGGAUACGGGCUGGCUGGAGGCAGGCAGGGGAGAAUGGAAUUCCCGGUGUAGCGGUGAAAUGCGUAGAUAUCGUAAGGAAGACCAGUGGCGAAGGCGGGUCUCUGGACAGUUCCUGACGCUGAGGCACGAAGGCCAGGGGAGCAAACGGG
rnacentral:rRNA from 1 species